rnacentral:lncRNA from 1 species
UCUUGGAGAUUCUUUUACAUUAUGAAUUCUAGAACAGUGGUAAGUGGUAGCUUCUACAAACAGAAAUUUACUGCCAAUGAAAUUAAAUGUGUGGCUACAACAUCAAACAACCAGAAUUUAAGAAUUAUUACAGAACAGAAUAAAGUGAGGGUCUGAAGAAUUAUCCAUAAAGCAUGAUCCUUUCUAGGAGAUUAGAAAGAAUCCUGAUUUCUUGCUUCUUAUCAACAAUGUAGAACUUUCUUCUGGUUCUUUCCUUGUACAAGAGAACGCUGGGCUUUAACUGAACACAUAGCUACCCAACUAAAGCAUCUUUUGCAGCUAGAAAUGGCCAUGUGAUCAAGUUUGGAGGAACUAGAGGGGUUGGCAAGUGAUGAGUGUGACUUUGGACCACCUCCUUGAAGAUGCAGCUGCUUCCCAGGACUUCUUUCCCACUUCCCACAGGCUGGAGAGUGGGCACCCAGGCUUUAGUCACAACCACCAAGAUGACCCUGUGGGGAGGUGACAGGGAGAGAAGAUGGACCUCUUGGAGAGGAGCAGCCACUUCUCCAGCUAUGGACUGCUGACAUAAGUACUAUUUAGAGAGAGGAAAAUAAACUAUCCCGUGUAAGUCAGCCCAUAUUUGAGUGUC